rnacentral:rRNA from 1 species
CAGCAGCCGCGGGAAUACGUAGGUGGCAAGCGUUGUCCGGAAUUAUUGGGCGUAAAGGGCUCGCAGGCGGUUUCUUAAGUCUGAUGUGAAAGCCCCCGGCUCAACCGGGGAGGGUCAUUGGAAACUGGGAAACUUGAGUGCAGAAGAGGAGAGUGGAAUUCCACGUGUAGCGGUGAAAUGCGUAGAGAUGUGGAGGAACACCAGUGGCGAAGGCGACUCUCUGGUCUGUAACUGACGCUGAGGAGCGAAAGCGUGGGGAGCGAACAGGAUUAGAUACCCCGUAGUCCCUGUCUCUUAUACC